CAGUAGCCGCGGUAAUACGGAGGGUGCAAGCGUUAAUCGGAAUUACUGGGCGUAAAGCGCACGCAGGCGGUCUGACAAGUCAGAUGUGAAAUCCCCGGGCUUAACCUGGGAACUGCAUUUGAAACUGUCAGGCUGGAGUCUUGUAGAGGGGGGUGGAAUUCCAGGUGUAGCGGUGAAAUGCGUAGAGAUCUGGAGGAAUACCGGUGGCGAAGGCGGCCCCCUGGACAAAGACUGACGCUCAGGUGCGAAAGCGUGGGGAGCAAACAGGAUUAGAUACCCCAGAGUCCCUGUCUCUUAUACC
rnacentral:rRNA from 1 species